UCAUCUCGAGAACCAUCCGUGAG
rnacentral:siRNA from 1 species